rnacentral:rRNA from 1 species
GCAUGGGCGCAGCCUGACGGAGCGACGCCGCGUGUGGGAUGAAGGCCUUCGGGUUGUAAACCACUGUCACUCGUUAAGAAAGGGUCUGGGGUUAACAGCCUCAGGCACUGACGAAGGCGAGAGAGGAAACCACGGCUAACUUCGUGCCAGCAGCCGCGGUAAGACGAAGGUGGCGAGCGUUGUUCGGAAUCACUGGGCAUAAAGCGCACGUAGGCGGCGACGUAAGUCGGGUGUGAAAUCCCUCGGCCUAACCGAGGAACUGCGCCCGAUACUGCGUUGCUCGAGGACCAGAGGGGUGCAUGGAAUUUCCGGUGGAGCGGUGAAAUGCGUUGAUAUCGGAAGGAACGUCGGCGGCGAAGGCGGUGCACUGGCUGGUUUCUGACGCUGAGGUGCGAAAGCCAGGGGAGCAAACGGGAUUAGAUACCCCGGUAGUCCUGGCCGUAAACGAUGGGUACUAGGUAGGGGGGUUCCAAACGCCUCUCUGCUGGAGCAAAUGUAUUAAGUACCCCGCCUGGGAAGUACAGUCGCAAGGCUGAAACUCAAAGGAAUUGACGGGGGC